CAGCAGCCGCGGUAAUACAGAGGGUGCGAGCGUUAAUCGGAUUUACUGGGCGUAAAGCGUGCGUAGGCGGCUUCUUAAGUCGGAUGUGAAAUCCCUGAGCUUAACUUAGGAAUUGCAUUCGAUACUGGGAAGCUAGAGUAUGGGAGAGGAUGGUAGAAUUCCAGGUGUAGCGGUGAAAUGCGUAGAGAUCUGGAGGAAUACCGAUGGCGAAGGCAGCCAUCUGGCCUAAUACUGACCCUGAGGUACGAAAGCAUGGGGAGCAAACAGGAUUAGAUACCCCGGUAGUCCCUGUCUCUUAUAC
rnacentral:rRNA from 1 species